UUGAGAUGGGAGACAUAGAAGAAGGAAAGAAAAUGGAAAUAAGGAACUGAAAAUGAAGGAUGAAGAUGUAGAUGGAUGAAAUUAAUCAUGAAAUGAAAAAGAAAAGUAUAGCUUUAACAACUUCAUAUAUAUAUAUCAACAUUGAUGAUUUUAUAAAGAUGAAUUAUUUUUUAUAAAAUCAUAAUAUGGAAUUUAAUAUAACUUUGAUUAUUAUAAUUUAUAAUGAAACUUUUUUAAAA
rnacentral:lncRNA from 1 species